UGUAGUUACUCUAUCUGAUGUUCAAAAUCGUAUAAACCUGCCUGCCUGCAUUCUUUAAAUACUAGUUGAGACCUCGCCUGUCAGCGUUCAAAUGGGUUUUAUAGAUUUGAUUUUUAUUAAAACGACUGAAAGACAUUAAAAACCCCAAACGUGAUACUCAAAAUGUCCAACGAAUGAGAGCGCAUUUAACAAGAAAUUAAUGGAAAAGAUCUUAUCUUGUUAAUUUAUUUCCUAGGAUCAGACGCGUAAUUGAGAUUUAUAUCUGUAUCCGGCAUGGCGUGAAAAGUACUUCCUCGUCAACGAUACGAUAAAGUGUUUUGCAUGUAGAAUUUUUUAUUUCACUUCUCCUUUUUUCUGGGCGCUUCAACUGGGCAAGACUGCACUCACUGAGAAGCUAGCUUUCCCAGAGAGCAGAGCCUUCUGUUGGAGACGCCAUUUAACUUGACAAAUAGUUAAGAAAUAAAACCGAAAGAGUGUAGCCAGCAGAAACAUUGGACGAAAAACUUAAAGUCAUCCAUACUGAGAACGAUGAGAAAUCCUAUUUUUUUCACAAUCGCCAUAUUGCUGCUUAGUCACGUGACUUGGGCAGGAUAUUGGGCAGACUGGGGAGUCACGUGUGAACCGGAAGUCGAAAACAUUCCAGUUUGUGGAGGAGUGAAGUCCGCUCCCGUUACAAAGUGCCGCGGGACAUGCCGCUCUCUUAGUACAAUUACGAUGAAUUUUCCCUGGUACAAAACUAAAUGCCAAUGUUGUAAAGCGAGCGGAUUGAAGCCGGAAGUGAUACAUUGCAGCAACGGAAGUAAAGAUGAAGUAUUUCAUGCCGACGGCUGUUCGUGUCAAGAUUGCCUCGGAGUUUGAUACAGGAGACGACCACAACUCGGAGCAGUGAAACCAAGCAUGAAAAAAAACGGAAAACGUUUUCGAAGCGUAAAAGAGAACUAGAAGAUAUCAAUAUUUUGGCCUCGGGCACAAACUGGUCGUUAAAAAUAUAUAGGAAUUUCUAAUUUAAAUUUAGAUCUAGUGAAUGUAACGUAAAAUAAAUUUCCUGAAUGUAUAGCGAAUGAAGAGCACUGUGUCUCAGACGCAACAUUGAACAUAUCUGCCUGGUCAAACAUAUCAGUUGUUCAACAUAAAACAUAACAACCUUUUCCUCGACAUAAAACUGGUCAUUUGGUGCUGUCACGUGGCACGUGGCACGUGGCAGGCUAUCACGCUGUCACGUGAUAUAUGAAGUCUGCCUACUACUACUUGAAUAUGGUUUUUAACUGAAUUGUUUCUGGGGCGUGUUUGGCUGCAAAAUGUAAUAACUAACACAGAAUGUAACAACUUUUUCACGUAAAAUGAAAGAGUAGCCUGAAUUGUAACAACUAUGGACACAAAAUGUAACAUUUCUUUUUCAAAUGUAACUCGAAUUGUAACAACUUUUUAACUCACAAUGUAAAAAGGUUUUAACGCGAAAUGUAACAGCUCGUCUAAAUAUAUAAAGGAAAUUUAGAGAUA